AAGAGUUCGAUGUUGUAGCCUUGUCCUUGUGUUGGUGUAGGUGUUGGUGAACAUGUAAACCAUACUCAUUUUAUUCCAAUGGAAUGUAAUCUCUUAAGUUAGCACGAACAAUAAAUGUAACCAUUUAUGUAAAUUAAUAAUCCACUUCUAGAAAAUUGAUGCUUUACUUAAUUGUAUUUAUAUAAGGAAAAGUAUUGGUAAUCUGCCAACAUUUGACAACAGUAGUAAUCUACUUGAAGAUCUCCAUAACCCGGAGAAGAGACGUGGCAAACCAAUGCAAGUACUCCAUCUUCGAAUUAAGGAGAGAAAUUACAAAUUGAACCAAGUUCAAUAUUCAAUUCAUUAAUUCCUUCCCAGUUCCUGUUUAUAAUCCUAACUAGUUGGGCAUCGUAAGAGUUUCUAUCAAUGCACAUAAUAUAAAUUCAGUAAGGAAAAGUUUAGGAGACCAGCAACUUUAUGGAAUUUUGGCCAGCAUGUAACCAGCAGAAAAAGAGAGCAUGGCGCCUUCACCGCCAGUGGAACCACAUUCAGACCCAGCAUUUCCAUGGCAAGACUCAAGCUGUCUUCUUCUUUGGGUUUAAGAUGAUUGUUAGCACUUGAUUCCAUGUGCGUCGUCGCAGCUAGAUUCAGUGGAUGUAUAUAGACCACGAUGUAAGUGUAAAGAAGUUGCAUAUAUAAAGGGCAGGGGUGAGUCGUUAACUUGCAUUCCUACCUUUUGUUACUUAUUGUAAUGCAAUCUCACUCAAGUAAUUGCUGCUGUAACCUUUGCUUUUAGUCACUAAUUCAAAUGACUAUGAGGAAGAAA